GACGGAGGGGGCUAGCGUUGUUCGGAAUUACUGGGCGUAAAGAGCGCGUAGGCGGAUUAGUAAGUUGGAAGUGAAAUCCCCGGGCUUAACCUGGGAACUGCAUUUGUGACUGCAUCGCUGGAGUGCGGCAGAGGGGGAUGGAAUUCCGCGUGUAGCAGUGAAAUGCGUAGAUAUCAGGAGGAACACCGGUGGCGAAGGCGGGUCUCUGGGCCGAUACUGACGCUGAGGAGCGAAAGCGUGGGGAGCGAACAGG
rnacentral:rRNA from 1 species